AGUUCCGUGAUGUCCACCAGAUGACUCGGACUUUGGGCUCCCUUUCCCUAGUGUAUGUUGAGCCUAAGCCACACCCACUUGGCAAGCCUGUUUCGAGGGUUACAGGCUCAACUAUGAUCACGGCAUAUGAAUCUUCAGAGGGCACAAACAUCCCCAACCCUACCUUACCUCCAUACUUUACUAGGUGUAAUCGUUAUGGAAGCUACAAACGCCAAACACCUGCUACGCAUCACAGUCUUUAUUUCAUCACGCCUCCUGAAUCUCUGAAGGAAGAUGUACAUCUGCUCCUCCCCUAGAAAUGAUGGACAGCCCACUCAUCCAAAGAAGUUCCUGAUCUCAAAGCUAAGGCGUACCCACCCUCCUUAUAUUGCACAAGCCAGGGAUUAAUAACUAUUUUCUGUCAAAUGCCAAAACAUAAAUAGUUUAGUCUUCACAGCCGUAUGGUCUCUAUCCUGACGAUUCAUCUCCUCCAUGUUAGCACAAAAGGAGCCACAGAAACAACAUAAACGAAUGAGCAUGGCUUUGUUCCAAUAAAACUUUAUUUAGCACUUUG